rnacentral:rRNA from 1 species
GAUGAACGCUUGCGGGAGGCCUAACACAUGCAAGCCGAGCGGUAUUGUUUCUUCGGAAAUGAGAGAGCGGCGUACGGGUGCGGAACACGUGUGCAACCUGCCUUUAUCUGGGGGAUAGCCUUUCGAAAGGAAGAUUAAUACUCCAUAAUAUAUUGAUUGGCAUCAAUUAAUAUUGAAAGCUCCGGCGGAUAGAGAUGGGCACGCGCAAGAUUAGCUAGUUGGUGAGGUAACGGCUCACCAAGGCGAUGAUCUUUAGGGGGCCUGAGAGGGUGAUCCCCCACACUGGUACUGAGACACGGACCAGACUCCUACGGGAGGCAGCAGUGAGGAAUAUUGGUCAAUGGGUGCAAGCCUGAACCAGCCAUCCCGCGUGAAGGACGACUGCCCUAUGGGUUGUAAACUUCUUUUGUAUAGGGAUAAACCUACCCUCGUGAGGGCAGCUGAAGGUACUAUACGAAUAAGCACCGGCUAACUCCGUGCCAGCAGCCGCGGUAAUACGGAGGGUGCAAGCGUUAUCCGGAUUUAUUGGGUUUAAAGGGUCCGUAGGCGGACUUAUAAGUCAGUGGUGAAAGCCUGUCGCUUAACGAUAGAACUGCCAUUGAUACUGUAAGUCUUGAGUAUAUUUGAGGUAGCUGGAAUAAGUAGUGUAGCGGUGAAAUGCAUAGAUAUUACUUAGAACACCAAUUGCGAAGGCAGGUUACCAAGAUAUAACUGACGCUGAGGGACGAAAGCGUGGGGAGCGAACAGGAUUAGAUACCCUGGUAGUCCACGCCGUAAACGAUGCUAACUCGUUUUUGGGCUUUAGGGUUCAGAGACCAAGCGAAAGUGAUAAGUUAGCCACCUGGGGAGUACGCUCGCAAGAGUGAAACUCAAAGGAAUCGACGGGGGCCCGCACAAGCGGUGGAUUAUGUGGUUUAAUUCGAUGAUACGCGAGGAACCUUACCAAGACUCAAAUGGGAAUUGACAGCUUUAGAAAUAGAGCUUUCUUCGGACAAUUUUCAAGGUGCUGCAUGGUUGUCGUCAGCUCGUGCCGUGAGGUGUUAGGUUAAGUCCUGCAACGAGCGCAACCCCUGUCACUAGUUGCCAUCAUUCAGUUGGGGACUCUAGUGAGACUGCCUACGCAAGUAGAGAGGAAGGUGGGGAUGACGUCAAAUCAUCACGGCCCUUACGUCUUGGGCCACACACGUAAUACAAUGGCCGGUACAGAGGGCAGCUACACAGCGAUGUGAUGCAAAUCUCGAAAGCCGGUCUCAGUUCGGAUUGGAGUCUGCAACUCGACUCUAUGAAGCUGGAAUCGCUAGUAAUCGCGCAUCAGCCAUGGCGCGGUGAAUACGUUCCCGGGCCU